ACUCCUACGGGAGGCAGCAGUGGGGAAUAUUGCACAAUGGGCGCAAGCCUGAUGCAGCAACGCCGCGUGAGUGAUGAAGGCCUUCGGGUCGUAAAGCUCUGUCCUCAAGGAAGAAUAAAUGACGGUACUUGAGGAGGAAGCCCGGCUAACUACGUGCCAGCAGCCGCGGUAAUACGUAGGGGGCAAGCGUUAUCCGGAAUCACUGGGGCGUAAAGGGGUGCGUAGGCGGUUUUCAAGUCAGAAGUGAAAGGCUAUGGCUCAACCAUAGUAAGCUUUUGAAACUGUUAAACUUGAGUGCAGGAGAGGAAAGUGGAAUUCCUAGUGUAGAGGUGAAAUUCGUAGAUAUUAGGAGGAACACCAGUGGCGAAGGCGACUUUCUGGACUGUAACUGACGCUGAGGCACGAAAGCGUGGGAGCGAACAGGAUUAGAUACCCUGGUAGCACAGAG
rnacentral:rRNA from 1 species